UCGGGGAUCGUCUAACGGUAGGACGCCAGGUUUUGGUCCUGGAAAUCGGGGUUCGAUUCCCUGUCCCCGAGCCA
rnacentral:tRNA from 1 species